ACGCUGGUGGCGGCUACCAUGCAUUUGAGCUGCGAAAGCACUUCGGUGUGAGUAGAUGCGGCGGACGGGUGAGUAACGCGUAUGAAUCUACCUGGUAGUGGGGGACAACUCGGGGAAACUUGAGCUAAUACCGCAUACGCCCUACGGGGUGAAAGCGGGGGACCUUCGGUGCCUCGCGCUAUCAGAUUGAUCCUGCGUUGGAUUAAGAUAGUUGGUGGGGUAAUAGGCUAACAAGUGCGACGAAUCCCAUAACAUUGGUCAUGAAAAUGAAUGAUCCAGACACACCUGGGACUGAGACAAAAGUCCAGGAAUCCAUAACGGGAGUGCAAGCAGUAGUGGGAAAUAUUUGACGACAACUGGGCGACUAGCACUGUAAGCAGCCAAUUGCCGGCGU
rnacentral:rRNA from 1 species